rnacentral:lncRNA from 1 species
AAAAACUCAAGUAGGCAAAGUUCUCCUUUGCGGAUCUUGGUCUUGCAUUCCUGAAACCGAACAAAAGAUAAUAAGCACGUCAAAUUAUCAGCGACUACGAUAACAUUCUGGACACUUGAAAUGUUAUUUGUAGCAUCAAGAGAUACUUCUCAAGUUCGAAUCCACCUCAGAAUGAAGAAUGAAAAAAGCGUCAAGCAGGUGCAAGCUUGACCCUUUUUCAAUUCACUGCUCGAACUUUUUGUUAGAAAAAGCAGUAGUAGCUCAGCUCGAGAUAGGGUUGAGCUUCAUAGGUUAGUGUGCACCAAGACUCGAGGCAACGCAUCAGCUUAAUAGAAGCUCCUCAGAUGGAGAAGGAUCUUUUAUUUAGCACAAUCCAUCACGCAUACUGAGUUGCCAGGUGCAAAAUAUCAUCUGUGAACAGAACAUAAUCUGAAAAUGGAGACAGAUAGAUCGGACUCUGGACAUAGACAGCUUUUUCAAGCAUAAACAUACAAGGAUUCUUACAAACAGGGCAGAGCAGCAACUGAUCCAGUUACGCAUAUACAUAAACAUCCUUAUCCAGUACCCAAUAAACUUGUGACUGACUGAAAACCAAGUUUGUGCACACUAAGAUAGGCUUUGCCAGAAAAGUACUGUGAUCUAAAGACCUUCCGGAUAUCCCUUUUUCUUCACAUGGCGUCCCUGUUCAAAGCAACACAGAACAAGGAUCAGGAUGGACAUAAUUGAGCAUGACAAGGAUCUGGAGAACUGAGAAGUAGUUCUACAAAUGGAGGUCCAACUCUAUGCAGUACCCAAAAGUCAAAACGAUAAAACUGUUCAUAUAAUAAAUGCCCUGACCCUUGAUAUCCCUCCCAAACUACAAGCGGGUUAUAGAGGGGAAAACCACGCCCAGGUACCAUACUUUUUAGAUUGGAUUUAUUAUACACUAUUUGUCAUAUAAAAGGAAAAUCUUCAUUGACACAUAUAUGAAACGGAAAGCAUACAUAACCAUGAGCAUACGAUUCAUAAUUGAAAUCCAUGUGAGAGACAGCAUGCUUCAGCUUACAGACAUGACACAUCGAUUCCGUUAUACAACAAAACUCCGAACAUACAAAGGAUUGAUACUCUGAGGUAUAUUAGCUUGACGACCACAGUUCAUAGGCUAACCCCUGUCCCUCUAGGUUCUCUUAGCUAUCCUUGAUUGCCCGUUGUGAUAUCACCGACCAUGCGCUCAUGCACAGGGGACACCUCUAUUAUGAAUGUUUCUCCUCUAUGAUAACUCAAAUAAAAACUUCAAUUGAAGCUGUUUCGCGAAAAACGAACGUACCUACACAAAACAAGCAUCAUCCAAGCAGCAGAAGAACAAUUAUCUGUACUAUCAUACCUCCACGGAGUACAUAGCAGACACAUCCGACAUGUAACUCAAAGACAUGUUUUUUUUUUGGAAAUGUAAGAACUAAACAGUUUAGGAAUUAAUCAAAUUCAUGCACUGGAAUCUUAAAAGAAUGUAUCACACAUCACCUUUUAAAUUGGUAAGAAAGCAAAAAAGAUAUGCACGUAGAUUUACUUCACCUGCUCAACCAACAUUGUACAGUAGAAGAUCUCAUGUGCUUACAGUUUCAGGUUGACCCAUUUCCACCCAACUCCCCUGCCUGCCAGAAAAAAGAAGGCCAAUUCAAGGAGAAGUUGAAUCAACUAGAAGACAUGUGUGCAAAACGUUUUUAUAUAUGAUGUAACUUUAUAGGAAGGGAUAGUAGCAUUUGUGAAUGACAGUAAAAAAUAAAGCCGCCAGGACUGAUCAUAAUCUUUUGCCAAGACAUGUUAAAACUGUUUGACUGUUCACAGAAAUUGUGUUCAUCCAAAAUUAUUGUCGAGAGAGCUUGUACCAUGUACGCUCAAUGGGCCAAACAAAAUAUUCACAUAUUUAGAAACCUCUGACAAUGAGUAUUUACUUGGUACAUCAGAAAUUAAUGAAUUCGUACAAUUUUUGGAUCAGAAAGUAAAUACAUGCUGUUAUGAAUCGAUUGAUUGAUAUCAAGAUAUUUUUAUCUUGCAAGGAUAAGUAUUAAAUGAAAAACAUAACAAACUUUAAACUUCCACAAGUGAUUCGAAUAAAUCAUGUUAGGUACACACAAGGUACAGAGUUAGCUUAAUAUGAAGGUAUUACCCGCAGUAUAGAAAUUUCUGUGCAAAACAAACUAGCCUCAACAAGAGCAAUACAUAGAUCAUGUAAAGGCCAAAGGGAAAACCUUGCUUGAUCAUCCUUGAGCGCAGGGAAUAUGGGCGGCCAAAUCAUCAUAAAAGGAUAGAUAGCACUGAAAUGUCGAUCCUUUUCUGUCAUCCCAUGCACUUUAUGUAGUGUCCUGCUAGUGACGUCCAGAUAGAGUAUGCAUCCACACAUUGUCUUCAAGAACACAAACUGAACAUUAUCUCCCACCUGGCUUAUAUAGGCGUAACUAAUAUCCUCGUCCUCGAGCGUGUGAUCUCGCAUCCUCAAAUUAGCCCACAUCUGAUGCAAACAAAGGGUAUCGACCAGCAACCAGUUGUCCCCCUUGUGGAGCCAGAUGCAAAGUUGAUGCUCCUUGACAUGGACAUGGAUGAGAUAUAGACCGGAAGCAUCAUCAGCCGGAGACAAGAUGGCAUGAAGAGUGUGAUACUUCACUCCUUGUGGGAGCAGAAUUCUGGAAAAACUCGAGGUCGCCAAAUCCAAGACAAUAAUGUCAUUACUGAGGACGUCAGCCAUAUAAAUUUUAUCAUCAACAAGCACAGCUUUCAGUGCCGGCAGCGUAUGAGGGAGUUGUGUUGUGGCCGAGGUAUGCAUGCACCAGACGCCGCCUUGCAACAUAUACACGCGCACCUUGAAAGUUUUUGUUUGCCUAGUACACUCCGCCAACACAUACAGGUAGGACAACCCAUCGCCUUCUUGUUUGGAGAGGAUUGCACCAAGAAGUUUUUGAAUGCAGUUCUGAGCGGCUGGGAGUGUUGGGAUUUAGUCCAUGUCUCGUUCAGGGCACAAUGGGCGGUAAACUCCAUGUGUCACUUCUGUUCCUUUAUGGUACCGGGUGAAGAUGCUGCCAUUCUGGCAGUGCAUGAUCCAUAUUCCGUCAUCGUAGGCGUCGAAGCUAUGGCUUGCCACACGACGGACAACGUUGUCGAGCUCCGGGGGCUGGGGCUGCAUUGGGACGAAGUGUGGAGUACCAUACAACCCCAACCCGGUCCACUUUACGUCGAUGUAUAAGCCAAGGAGGCGGGGUGGGUUGCGCUUGCGGAAACGGCAGAGGAACCCGCGGUCUGAGGCGUGGUGGUACCAGCGCUUGCAGACGAGGGCGGCGUGGACGAGGGUGGUAGGGAAGCCGACACGGAUGAGGAUCUCGAUGAGGAGGUUGUCGUCGUUAAGCACCUCGCACUGGCCCAUGGAUGUCUGGGAAUGCUGCUGUUGAUUGCCAUCCACACAUGGUUUCUUCUUGGGAUGGACACUGAGACAUUGGCGCCAACAAAAGAAAAAUGCAAACUGGCGUCAAUUUCUUGAAGCAACUGCCGGGGCAAAACAUCCAACACACAACAUCCAGCGGAACGGACUAAAGGAAAGAAACUGUUGGGGGGGAUAGAAAGAGAUGGGGGGGAUUGGAGGUCUCACCGUUGGGGAAUCGCCUCCGGAGCAUCCAUCGAUCCUCCUUCCCGCCUCAGCUAGGCUCCGCACUGAACAAGUAGAUGCAAUUACGGUAAUUUGGGGACAAAUCACAAAACUGUAGCUAGGGUUCGAUUCCGCGAGAAGAGAAGAGAAAAGAAAAGAAAAAGGAAACUGAGAGAUUACAGGAAGAAGAAGAAGAACUCACAUCGAUCGAAUCGGGAGAGAGAGGUAAAGCUGAAGCCUUCAGUGGCCGCCGCCGGGAUCGCCGGAGAGAUGGCUGGGCGAAGUCGCCGGAGGACACAGAGCCUUUUCUUUUUCUUUGGAGUCACGGGGGCAGCUGGGUCAAU